rnacentral:sRNA from 1 species
UUAAUGCUUUUUCUAGUUU